rnacentral:tRNA from 1 species
AAUUAAUGAGCUUGAAUAAGCAUAUGUUUUGAAAGCAUAAGAUAAUGGUAUAUUCCAUUAUUAAUUU